UGCGUAGGCGGCUUUUUAAGUUUGGUGUGAAAUCUCCCGGCUCAACCGGGAGGGUGCGCCGAAUACUGAGAGGCUAGAGUGUCGGAGAGGUAAGUGGAAUUCCUGGUGUAGCGGUGAAAUGCGUAGAUAUCAGGAGGAACACCGGUGGUGUAAACGGCUUACUGGACGAUAACUGACGCUGAUGCACGAAAGCGCGGGUAGCAAACAGGAUUAGAUACCCUGGUAGUCCACGCCCUAAACGAUGCAUAUUUGGUGUGGGCCAUUCAUUUGGUCUGUGCCGGAGCUAACGCGUUAAAUAUGCCGCCUGGGGAGUACAGUCGCAAGGCUGAA
rnacentral:rRNA from 1 species